rnacentral:tRNA from 1 species
GACGGGGUAGCUCAGUGGUAGAGCGUGUGCUUAGCACGCAUGAGGUGCUGUGUUCAAUCCCCAGACCUGCCA